GGAAGGAUCAUUAUCGAGUCCGAGAGAGAAAAGGGACCACGGAGGACGGAAGUCCUCUCUCGUGUGGUCCCGUGUGGGGGUUCUUUCCUGUGCACCCGUCGUAGAUCUUCUUCAGGAUCUACGUCCGUUUCCUUCGUACGUCCAUGGAGUGUGGUGGGCAGCACGGUAUACAUACGUGCUCGGACAACUUUCAGCGACGGAUCUCUUGGCUCUCGCAUCGAUGAAGGACGCAGCGAAUCGCGAUAAGUAAUGUGAAUUGCAGAUCUUCCGUGAAUCAUCGAAUCUUUGAACGCACCUUGCGCUCCUCGGUAUUCCGAGGAGCAUGCCUGUCUGAGCGUCACCGUACUCUCGGAUCCUCCCUCGUGAGGAAGCCGGAACUUUUGGGGGCUUGCGGGUGUCCCUCGCGGACAUCGGCUCUCCUGAAACACAUUAGCGUGUGGAGCCUGGCGUGACCUCGAUCCUCCUCGGCGUCGUAAGGAUCGUCGUGAGGUCUCGAGGGGAGUGCUUCGUGUCUCAUGCUCCUAGCAUCGUCGACGAGGCGUGUGUAUAUGGGCCUCGUCGCGCGUCCCGAAAGGGUUUUCUGGCCUCAGAUCAGGCAGGGCUACCCGCUGAACUUAAGCAUAUCAAUAAGCGGAGGAAAAGAAACUAACGAGGAUUCCCCUAGUAACUGCGAGUGAAGCGGGAAGAGCUCAAAUUUCGAAUCUGGCGGUCCUCAGGCCGUCCGAGUUGUAAUCUAGAGAAGCGUCUUCCGCGCCGGACCGUGUACAAGUCUCCUGGAAGGGAGCAUCGUAGAGGGUGACAGUCCCGUCUCCGACACGGAAGCGUACCGGUGCUAUGUGAUGCGCUCUCGACGAGUCGAGUUGUUUGGGAAUGCAGCUCCAAACGGGGUGGUAAACUCCAUCUAAAGCUAAAUACUGGCGAGAGACCGAUAGCGAACAAGUACCGUGAGGGAAAGAUGAAAAGGACUUUGGAAAGAGAGUCAAACAGUACGUGAAAUCGCUGGAAGGGAAACGCUCCGGGUCAGUCGCGUCCCCCGGGGAUCAACCCAGCGAUGCGUCGCUGGGCGUACUUCCCGACGGGGACGGGUCAGCAUCGAUCUCGGUCGUCGCAGAAGGACGAGAGCGAAAGUGGCACUCCACGGAGUGUGUUACAGCCUCUCGUAGGCACGCGACGACGGACGGGAUCGAGGAACUCGGCACGACCCUCGCUCGAGGGUUCGGGGCUUUGGCUCACGACCGCGUGCCCAGGAUGUUGGCGUAAUGGCUUCGAGCGACCCGUCUUGAAACACGGACCAAGGAGUCUAACGUGCGUGCGAGUGUUCGGGUGGUAAACCCGUGCGCGCAACGAAGGUGAAGGUCGAGACCUCCGUCACGGGAGGGCAUCGACGCCCGGACUCGAGCCUAUGGCGAGGGAUCCGCGGUGGAGCACGUACGUCGGGACCCGAAAGAUGGUGAACUAUGCCUGAGGAGGGCGAAGCCAGAGGAAACUCUGGUGGAGGCUCGUAGCGAUUCUGACGUGCAAAUCGAUCGUCGAACUCGGGUAUAGGGGCGAAAGACUAAUCGAACCAUCUAGUAGCUGGUUCCUGC
rnacentral:misc_RNA from 1 species